rnacentral:rRNA from 1 species
UACGUAGGGUGCAAGCGUUGUUCGGAGUGACUGGGCGUAAAGGGCGCAUAGGCGGGUUUGUAAGUCGAUUGUGAAAUCCCCGAGCUUAACUCGGGAACUGCAGUCGAAACUGCAAAUCUUGAGUGCCUAAGAGGUUAGUGGAAUUCCUGGUGUAGGAGUGAAAUCCGUAGAUAUCAGGAGGAACACCGGAGGCGAAGGCGGCUAACUGGUGGUGCAUUGACGCUGAAGCGUGAAAGCGUGGGGAGCAAACAGG